rnacentral:rRNA from 1 species
GCUAAGAAUAUUCCGCAAUGGACGAAAGUCUGACGGAGCGACGCCGCGUGGAUGAUGAAGGCCGAAAGGUUGUAAAGUCCUUUUGCUGGGGAAGAAUAAGCGUGGGAGGGAAUGCCCGCGUGAUGACAUGAACCGGCGAAUAAGCCCCGGCUAACUACGUGCCAGCAGCCGCGGUAACACGUAGGGGGCAAGCGUUGUUCGGAAUUACUGGGCGUAAAGGGCAUGUAGGCGGCCUUGUAAGCUUGGCGUGAAAGUCCACGGCUUAACCGUGGGAUUGCGUUGAGAACUGCGAGGCUUGAGUGACGGAGAGGGAGCUAGAAUUCCUGGUGUAGGGGUGGAAUCUGUAGAGAUCAGGAAGAAUACCAAUGGCGAAGGCAAGCUCCUGGCCGAUGACUGACGCUGAGGUGCGAAAGUGUGGGGAUCAAACAGGAUUAGAAACCCCAGUAGUCC